ACAAACCUUAGCUAGCAGUAUCCUGAGUAGGGCGGGACACGAGAAAUCCUGUCUGAAGCUGGGUCGACCACGAUCCAACCCUAAAUACUAAUACCAGAUCGAUAGUGCACAAGUACCGUGAGGGAAAGGUGAAAAGAACUGAGGUGAUCAGAGUGAAAUAGAACCUGAAACCAUUUGCUUACAAUCAUUCAGAGCCCUAUGUAGCAAUACAGGGUGAUGGACUGCCUUUUGCAUAAUGAGCCUGCGAGUUGUGGUGUCUGGCAAGGUUAAGCAAACGCGAAGCCGUAGCGAAAGCGAGUCUGAAUAGGGCGCUUAGUCAGAUGCUGCAGACCCGAAACGAAGUGAUCUAUCCAUGAGCAAGUUGAAGCUAGUGUAAGAACUAGUGGAGGACUGAACCCAUAGGCGUUGAAAAGCCCCGGGAUGACUUGUGGAUAGGGGUGAAAGGCCAAUCAAACUUCGUGAUAGCUGGUUCUCUCCGAAAUAUAUUUAGGUAUAGCGUUGUGUCGUAAUAUAAGGGGGUAGAGCACUGAAUGGGCUAGGGCAUACACCAAUGUACCAAACCCUAUCAAACUCCGAAUACCUUAUAUGUAAUCACAGCAGUCAGGCGGCGAGUGAUAAAAUCCGUCGUCAAGAGGGAAACAACCCAGACUACCAGCUAAGGUCCCUAAAUCUUACUUAAGUGGAAAACGAUGUGAAGUUACUUAAACAACCAGGAGGUUGGCUUAGAAGCAGCCAUCCUUUAAAGAAAGCGUAAUAGCUCACUGGUCUAGUGAUUUUGCGCGGAAAAUAUAACGGGGCUAAAGUAAGUACCGAAGCUGUAGACUU
rnacentral:rRNA from 1 species